UUUUUGUUAGACCAACUGAAAUACGUGGUCUUGUUUUGAUCUUUAUUGCCUGUUGUGUGCUUCAAUUCUCAAAAUUUAAACUCACAUCUCUUCCCUUUGGAAUGUUUUGUAAAUCAGGAUGCAACGUAAAUAUUGAGGUUUCUUUGUGUUGUCAGAUCCAAGAUUAAUGUUGAUUGUACCACUAGGGUGUAGAUAUUCAAUGUGGAACGUCUGAAGUGAAACCAGUAUGAAGUUUGAAGAGUGUGUUUGUGGGUGACAUUUUCUUUUUCUUUAUUCUCCAAUUUUUGCUGAUGAUACCUGGCAAUAUCAUAUUAUAAAAAAGAUGCAAGGCAUUAGCAACAAAAUGUUGCGUGGAAGAUAAAAACUGAAGGUACCAGCUGCUGACUGUUGAGCCGUUUCUGCGACAAGCAAG
rnacentral:misc_RNA from 1 species